rnacentral:rRNA from 1 species
AGCGAACGCUGGCGGCAGGCUUAACACAUGCAAGUCGAACGCAUCCUUCGGGGUGAGUGGCAGACGGGUGAGUAACACGUGGGAACGUACCCUUCGAUCUGGGAUAACUUCGGGAAACUGGAGCUAAUACCGGAUACGCCCUUUUGGGGAAAGGUUUACUGUCGAAGGAUCGGCCCGCGUCUGAUUAGCUAGUUGGUGGGGUAACGGCCUACCAAGGCGACGAUCAGUAGCUGGUCUGAGAGGAUGAUCAGCCGCACUGGGACUGAGACACGGCCCAGACUCCUACGGGAGGCAGCAGUGGGGAAUAUUGGACAAUGGGCGCAAGCCUGAUCCAGCCAUGCCGCGUGAGUGAUGAAGGCCUUAGGGUUGUAAAGCUCUUUUGUCCGGGACGAUAAUGACGGUACCGGAAGAAUAAGCCCCGGCUAACUUCGUG